rnacentral:lncRNA from 1 species
GUGUCAGACCCCCUGACUUGUCUAUCUUUGUAAAAAAAAAAAAAAUUUUUUUAAUCUUUUCCGCUGAGCUCUUCUGCUUUUUAUGAGGCCUGGUAAUGAAAACGUAAUGUGCAAAUCCUAACAUCAAACCCAUGUUACAUAAUAAACCCUUGCCUCCCCAGCCCUCUCCAGAAGGGCAGAGAGAACAUUUCAGAACUGAAGUACUCGAGAUGCUUCUGUUUAUAGCGAUGGGCAUCUUACCGUGUCCCUGUCCACCUGAGGGCAGAACCGUGGGUUCCCACGCUGCCAUCCGAGUCUCAGAAAGCCCAAGUUCCUAAAACUAUGCCUGCUCAACCAAGAAGGAAUGGUGCCCUUGGGCAAGCUCAGCAGACUUCGAAAAUACCAUGCAGAGAAUUUGCCCCUGCCCCCGCCACCAACAUGGGCUGGCAUAGAAGGAAAGGGAAAGGAAAAAGAAGGAAAUUAACACUAGUGUGGCCCAAAUAGUGCUGAAGGUUUACUGUGGUGGCUCCCUUCAACUUCACAGUAGCUUUCAACACAGUUUCAAGGAGGACACUGAGGGUCUGAGAGUACCAGGGCCCAAGGUUAUGACAACAGGUGAAGAGCAGAGCUGCAGAGCUAAGCCAACAUCUCUCAAGCUUCACACCCCCUUGCUUUUUCUGCACGUGACAUUGACAACCAUAUAUAACCACAGAUGAAGCAAGCCCCAAAUAGUCCACAAGGAAUAACACAUCCUCUGGGAGAGAACUCCCUGUAGGAAGGGGUCAGCCGUGACAGCUGUCCCCACCUUCUGCUUGCCCAAGUCCCACCAGCCACCCCUCCAUGGAGUCUCCUGAGCCAGAGCAAUCUCUGCCACCAUCCCAUGUGGCUUCUCAGGAUGGCCUUCUCCCUCCCUAUCUCUAGGUGGGUCAGGUCUCUCUAGAUUCAGCCAGGAAACAAUUGUAACACUUCAAAGAGCAUACGUAAUGGGCACAUAUGAGAGAGAGAAAAUACAAGAGCAGAGAUGCCAUCAGCUUCACAGAGAAGGGACCUCUUAACAAAUAUCACCUAGGAACCUCAUGCCCCCUUCCGAUCUAGGUAUCUACCUGUCACAGUAACUAGCAGGGGUUUUAGCUCUGGAUGUUGUGAAGGAAACACAGGCAUUCGUUGAGAAUGAUGACAUCUGUGAUGAAAAAGAUACACAUUUAUUGGACAAAAUUUUAUGCGCUAAGCCAUUCAGUGGAUUAUAGAAGUGGUAACUCUAGAGAAUAAGAAUAAGCUUUAAACACCCACCUUGGUUAAGGAAACAGGUCGAGUCCUGCUGGGAUUCUUCCAUGAGCAUGCAGGGCUGCUCUUACGAUACACUGCUUCUGCCAAGGUGGGGCCUUGUCUACCAAUACUGGAAAACCCUGAGAGGUUGUCUUUCAUUCUUCACUGAUUCUUUCUCCGUGAUCUUUAUGGAUAAAUGUACUUCUCUCCUUGCUGCGCCGAUCUUCUUGUUCACAGAGUAACCAGGUUGUUUUGCUGCACCUGAUUUUGCUGAUCCAAUUUUUUUGUGUCUUUUUUUUUUUUUUCUGAGGUCUGCCAUUUUUUUUUUUCCAACUAGGUCCUUUCCAUGUUGUUCCAUGAGUAGGUUCCAUGCUAUUUUUU